ACAGAUGGCCUCAUAGAUAAUGAUGAUGGAAGAGAGAAAAUUGAAUGUCUCUCACAAGGUGGCCAUGGCAACCGAGAGCAGAAUAAUAUCAAUAAUAAGCUCACUGCAUAAUAAGGUUGUCAGUCCUACAAAUCAAAGUCUCCUGCUAAAUCAGGUACACCACCCCAGCUAGUUACCAGGUAAAUAAAAUAAAUGUGUUUGUGUGUGUAUCCACAUGCACACACACAUGUACAUAUGUGUGCAUGCGUGAUUUUCCAGGGACAUUGAAGGCAACUAGAAUUCCAAGCUGCUCAGUGGAACCGUGUGCGUGUGCGUGUGUGUGCCAGCAUGGGGGGUGCUGGCUAAUGAAAUUACAGUGUGGAUUUGUUCUUUCUCUUUCAUUGUCUUGCCUGCAGUCGGCUUGUUUUCGGGAGGGUCCCUCUAUCUAACGAGCCACCUUGCAAUCUGGAUCUGGGUGUGUAGGAGCCCUUUCUCUCGGCACCCGCUUGCCCUCUCUCUGCCUCUCUGCCGAGGGGAGCUGCAGCCAGGCAAUAGCAGAGUGCCUGGGGCGGCCACCUUGGCUCCCAGGGGGACAUCCUGCAAAAUGAAUCAGCAGCCGUCCUGAGCAGGCUGAUUACAAUGAAAAUGGCAAGGCCCGUGUCUGGGCGGAACUGGAGCUCAGCUUUGCUGCCUGUCUGGCAAGCAUGCUCAAUAUAGCUCUUGCUAAUAAUGGCUUGCUGCCUUUUGUUUUUUAAAAAGAUUGCCUGCCUGACAACAAUGUUAUUUUAAAGCUGGACUGACUUCAUCUUUCUUCUGGGGAAAGCCUGAAGAUGGAGGGCAAGCUACCUGAAUGUCCAAGACAAUAGUGGACACUCCGAGGCGAUCGCCUAGGCAGCUGACCUCAAGAGGACUCCCAGGAUGACUCUGCAGCACAUGGGUGCGCUGCUGAGGACGGCCCAGGAGAAGCCUAUUUCUGUGGUGAGCACUCCGGGCAACUCUUCCUGCAUCCCAGAUAUUAUGCAAUGCAGACAAUCAGAAUAGGAAAACGAGAGCUCCUAUCUGAUGCAAUAAUCUUGAAAAUUUGUUAAAAAUAAGCCAUCAGUUCUUUUUUACAAAAAUCUCAUCCAUUCCAUUAAGAUUACCUUCAAAUAAGCCACAUGUUUCCAAUUUCUGACAGAUUUCUCAGAUUUCUUUCAAAGCAUUCUGGAAAUCAGACCACUAUCACCUCUCAUAAAAAAUUCACUUAAAAAUUAAAACCCAGACUUUUUCUGAACUCAUUAUACUUUCCUUUCCUUAUAUAUUUUACUGUGUUAUAAAUAAACUUUAAAUUUUGCUGCCUGGAUUCUCGAUUUUUGGUUACAGGGGCGUAAUUUCCACGUACAGCUCUCUCUGUAGACACUUAUUUUUGUCCUGGUAAUUCCUGUUUCUGAGCUGUGAUUUUUUGCUCCUGCACUCUGGCCUGUUGCUGCAGUGCGAGCCAGAAAUCAACAGAGCUGCCCUGAUGGAGACUCCACUCAGCACGAGGCAGAGCAGCUGCAGCCCCCCCCCCCCCCGCUCACACACACACACACGCACACACACACACACACACACGAAUGACGUCUGUGCAGCCUCUUCAGCUGAUUGGGCGUCACAUCGGAUGUUCUGUGAAGCAAAGAAUAGGAGUCACUUACAGUCCGUGGAGAAGCAGCAAGCGUCCGAAUUCUCCUGGGUCUGAGACGCGGAGCUGAGUCUGCCAGCCACCGGCCACAGUGGUGAGGACGGCUCCUCGGGCCCUGUGGCCACCGUGGAGCAAAAUUCAACCGCAAAUGAUGACAGAACGGAAAAAGUGGCAGAGUAGGGAAGGCUUCCCAUUUUACAAAGGACAAAGGAUUCCUCUAAAAAAUGUGAGCACAACCAAAUUUCCAUGAAGGCUUGAGCAUUUAGGUCAUACAGGCAGCUUUGGAGCACGAUUUGAGAGUUUAAAUAUACAUUAUUGUUUUAAAAUACUCCCAAAUCCAUGUUCAGAGAGAAAGCACACAUGGAAAGAAUAUCCCCUCCACACACAGAAUCAUCCCAUGAGUUGAUCUCAGCUGGCUUAGCCUUGAUUUCAGAUGUCAUAGUUAAAAUUUACCACCAAAUGUCUUAUCACAUAUUAACAAAGAAAUAAACCUCUAAAUAAUAUCAAGCCAUAAUAUUGUGAAGCACAGCUUUAGGUAAGCAAGAUGUUUCUGACACAUAGGUGUGUGCCUAUGGAAAUGCAAUGUGUAUUAGGUACCAGGCACUGCAGAGUAGCUUGCUUGGGUGGAUAUGCGCGCGCACACACACACACACACACACACACAUAGUGCUGUUGCAACAGCUUUGGCACUGAAGCUGCAGGUGUGUCCCAGAGAAGCGGCAGGCCACUGCGUUGGUAAGCACAGCAUCUCACGUUUUAGCCUUAAGCCAAGGGAUCCCUGGACUCGGCAGCAGAGAGAACGCCUCUCCCUGCAGCACACUGUCACUGCAUUCCCUUCAGCCGCAUCUUCCUGACAGCAACCGUCCCGUCUCAUUCUGCUCCCGCGAAGCAUUCGCAUUCCCUGUACCCAGCCCUGCACAGCACUUAGCGAUGGAGACGCCAGCCCUCAAACCGCUUCAGAGUAGGGGGAAAUGAAUGAAUCAUGAAGCCACAGGGCAGGCAGAGCAGUAUACAGAGCCUGUAUUUUGCAGUUACAUUGUAGCACACUUGAUACUUAAUGAUUCCUUAAAACAGGAAAUCAAAUACUCUGUAGAAAGGAACUAGCAAACCCUUCAGGAUGUACAAGGACUGCUAGAAUAUUCAAAAGACCAUUUAGAUUUAAAAAAAAAUCUCCCUAUUGUUUGCAAUUAAAUCGUACACUGAAAUGUUCUGCCUGGGAAGAUCUCAUGUAAAUUAUUGCCCAUGUGCCUUGUGCUGCCCUUAGACACACCUCCACAGGUAGAGCCUCUCUGUCCUGAGGAAUUCAUAGCUUCUCUCUUCUAACGCUAUUUAGUUAUUUCUUUCUAAGAGAAAAUAAACUGCAUUGUGCAGCCCCUUCAAAUGAGUAUGUUCUCCAACCUAAUCAAAGAACAUAAACCCCAGAUACUUUUACAUCUUGAAUUAUACAACAGAUUCUGCCCUAGGCCGUGCGUUCUGGUGGCUCCAAAUCACAAUCUGCUCAUCGCCCAUGGCAUAGGAAGGGCUGGCUCUUCUGCUGUGGGUUCUCUGCAUGUCUGAGUGGGCUCUGGCCUCGAUGUGAUGUGUGUGGACAGGGGCUUCUUCACUGCUUCACAUGCCAAGUUUCACACCAAGGACACCAAGGCGAGGAGACAGGAGCUGAAGCUCCAUGUAAAAUGCAACAAUGACUUGUUCUAGGAAGCUCAUAAUGUAUCUGUUCUACAUUUCUUCAAAACUGUUUCUGCAUCAAUAAUGGAAGGCCAUGAUUUCUGAAAGGAAUCUUAAACUCACUCAGGACAGUAGCAAAUAGUGUAGACUCUCUGCAGUUGGGUGGAAAAUGGUUAAAAUCUGGAAUCUAGACAUUAUUAUGUUGGAGUGUACCCUAUGUAAACUCAUGUACUAAUCUAUCCCCCUACACUCCAUGGUUACCAUAAAAACUUUCAAUGUUAGACAUAUGUGAAGAAGGGAUAGUUUAGAUAGAUAGAUAGAUAGAUAGAUAGAUAGAUAUAGUAUGUGUGUGUGUCUGCUUGUGUGUGUGCGUGAAACACUUAAGGAUGGGAAACCCAUUUUCACUGCAGGGAACUACCCUCAACUCAUCAAAACAUCUGUAGGUGCUUCACAGCAAUUGGUUAAGAAAAGGGGUAGGUGACUAACUUGCAAAACGAGUAGAUUAAUGAGUGAGGAGGAAACUUGAGGGACACACCCCAAGGCAGAGUUGAUGUGUCAGACACAGAAAGACCUUGGCUGUGUGACCUCAGUGGCUGGCUGGGUCAGGAAGUGGAGAUCAAGACCCUCCCGGAGCACACGCAUUGCUUCUGGGUCUGUUGGGGACAGACUCUUCCAUCUCAUGUUAACCAAUAUUGGGGGAUCCAGAGCAGGGGAGGAUUAAGCAACACGUUCAGAUACCCUCACUUAGUUUUAUAGAACUGGUCAAGUUUUGGCAAAAUACAUAGAUAUAAAUUACUCUGAAUACAAUUCUGAGAUCUAAGUUAGCAUAGAGAAUUUAAGGUGUAAGCGAUUAUAAAUGGCAAACAAAAGUACUACAGAAGUGUUUUCACACUCUAAGGUCUAUAAUUUUAAGAACAUUGCCAAAAUUUAAUAAAAAUACGUACUUUCCAA